CCUUCCGGAAGGGUGCCUGCGGAGGGAUCAUUA
rnacentral:rRNA from 1 species